UACAGAGGUCUCAAGCGUUGUUCGGAUUCAUUGGGCGUAAAGGGUGCGUAGGCGGCUCGGUAAGUCGGGUGUGAAAUCUUGGAGCUUAACUCCGAAACUGCAUUCGAUACUGCCGUGCUUGAGGACUGGAGAGGAGACUGGAAUUUACGGUGUAGCGGUGAAAUGCGUAGAUAUCGUAAGGAAGACCAGUGGCGAAGGCGGGUCUCUGGACAGUUCCUGACGCUGAGGCACGAAGGUCAGGGGAGUAAACGGG
rnacentral:rRNA from 1 species